rnacentral:lncRNA from 1 species
UUUACUCUGCGGGCAAUCAAUCCCUUUUUACUAAAUAUACAUUAUUUAUCAAUGCCUACACAAUGGUAUCAAUCUCUAAACAAAAAAGUACCGAUCAUCAAGCAAUCAAUUUACUCUGCGGGCAAUCAAUCCCUUUUUACUAAAUAUACAUUAUUUAUCAAUGCCUACACAAUGGUAUCAAUCUCUAAACAAAAAAGUACCGAUCAUCAAGCAAUCAAUACUCUGCCAGCCAUCAAUUCCUGCAUGCUGAAUCUCGUCCUUUAAGCCACUUGAAUAUGCAUUAUUUAUCAAUGCCCAUAUGAGCAUCCAUCUCCUCAUUUAAACCACCUGAAUAUACAUUAUUUAUGGUACAUCGCCAAAUAGUAUAGUACUAAAAUUUAAUAAACGAAAACAUGAAUCCCAAAAAGUUGAAUCCCACUAAGAUCAUAUAUUUAAUCAACUAAAAAUAAAAUAAAUGACGC